rnacentral:rRNA from 1 species
AGAGACAGCAGCAGCCGCGGGAAUACAGAGGGUGCAAGCGUUAAUCGGAAUUACUGGGCGUAAAGGGCGCGUAGGUGGUUGCGUAAGUGAGAUGUGAAAUCCCCGGGCUUAACCUGGGACGUGCAUCUUAUACUGCGUAACUGGAGUGCAAGAGAGGGUAGUGGAAUUUCCGGUGUAGCGGUGAAAUGCGUAGAUAUCGGAAGGAACACCAGUGGCGAAGGCGGCUACCUGGCUUGACACUGACACUGAGGCGCGAAAGCGUGGGGAGCAAACAGGAUUAGAUACCCCUGUAGUCCCUGUCUCUUAUAC